UCUUCCUUUCCCGAGAUGCGAUCCGAGGUUUCGGUGGCCACCCCAAGGCCACCUCGCUCGGAAUGAGGCUAUUGUGUUGGAACUGUAGGUGAGCCAGCCGGUCCCUUACAGUCGGCCAUCUCUGUGAUAUUAAUCGCACAAUAUGCCCCAACGUUAUCCUCCUCAUCAAAACAAAGAAUUCUUCUGACUUAUUGAAAAGGGAACGUCUCUCUUUUCAUUCUGGCAAUGCCCACUAUGUGGAUCUGAUAGGCC
rnacentral:lncRNA from 1 species